AUAACGAGCCAAAUUAUUUAAUUUGUCCUUCAUUUUCUGUAAGAUGGCAAGCUGUGAGGUGAGAGAGACUUGGCUGCGUUUUUAACAAGUUAUGUAACUACAUGGAUGUUCCCCCGUCUCUUUGGUGUUUUUAUUCAAAGGAAGUGAAAUGUAAUGGUUAGGGGAAGUACUCACUUUGAAUCAAAGGGAGUAAAAGUAAUGAUCAAGGAAGAUACUCCUAUUCCAUGCCAUUAGAUUGAUAGAACAUAUAUUAUUAAACACGUUAGUGUCAACUGAUUUAUUUCAGGAAAGGAAAUGGUCAGGAUAUUGUUAAAGAAGACAGCAGCAUUUUCAGAAUAAGGUGGCGGUGCUAGUCGUAGUAGUAGUAGCAGCAGCAAGCAGCCUAUAGUUGGAAACUCUUUCCUGAUGCUGUUUCUGUUGGAGAAGGCAGGAUUUGAUGGUGCUGGCAGUGGUGGAGGGAUCGAUGUAGUGGUGGUGAUGAUCACAACAUUUACAGUGCCUCCCCCCCCACUCAUACUGGCAACAAUAACAACAGCAGGAGGAGGAGGAGGAGUAAAAGCAAGCAAAACAAGCCAUCAGUGCAACAGCUGGUGGAUUAUUUCUGAAGAUAGAGAAACUAGGUAUGAUGUGAUUCGAAGGUGAUUUGGUAGUUUUUUGGCAGAUCUAACAUGAAUGGAGUUUUAGCGAUUAUGUUUGAAAUGAACAAAAUCAUCAACAAGCUAACAGAUUUGUAAAAGGUGAGGGAACAAGAAGUCUUUAAGUUAUCUUUCAGACUGGAAACUUGAUAUAAAUACUUGAAAUAAAGCAAUGGAAACUCCAUUAAAGGCACUCACAUCCAAGGAUCAGGCAGCAUUGGUGUUUAGGGCUGUGAAUUGUUAAAGUGAAGGGGUCAGGUAGGAGAAUAACUUGCAGUAUUUGUUCUGGCAUUUUAUGUUCUGAGUUAAAUCCUGCCAAGGUCAGAUUUUGCUUUUUAUCCCACCUUGUAUUUCACUGAUACUUUAUUUUAUUGACCCCAGAGGGAUAAAAAGCAAGUUCCACCCAGGUCAACUUUGUCUUCCAUCCUUUUGGAGGUUAAUAAAAUAAAAUACCAGUCAAUUACUGGGAUCAUUGCCCCUGGAAAGAUGAACAACAAAGUUGGCCUUAGUGGGAUUUGAACUAAGAACAUAAAUAGCUGGAAGAAAUGCAGCAAAGCAUUUAAUGAUUCUAACUGCCUGAUGUAGUAGUAGUAGUAGUAGUAAAAAGAAGGAAAAGACAACAAUGACCAAAGAUGAAAAAGACAGAAGAUGACAAUGAAGAAAUAGGAUCAUCGAUGUAUUGAUUAAUUUUGAUAUCAUUUGGACUAGGUUUAAAUAUAAUUAUCAGGUUAACAAAAAUAUAAUAGUAAUAAUAUCAAUUCUCUCUACUAUAGGCACAAAACCUGAAAUUUUGUGGGUAGGGGCUGGUUGAUUAUAUUGAUCCCAGUACUUGACUGGUAUUUUAUUUUAUUCACCUCCAAAAGGAUGGAAGACAAAGUUGACCUGGGUGGAACUUGAAUUCAGAAUGUAAAGCCAGAAGAAAUGCCACUAAGAUUUUGUCUGAUGUGCCAAUAGUUCUGCCUGCUCACUGCCUUAAUAAUAUGAAUAAUAAUGAUAAUGGCUUCAGAUUUUAUCACAAGAUCAGCAAUUUCAGGGGGAAGGGUUAAGUUGAUCAUAUCAAUCCCAGAGUUCAACUGGUACUUAUUUUAUUGAACCCGAAGUGAUGAAAGGCCAAGUUAACUUCGGAAGAAUUCAAACUCAGAAUGUAAAGAUGGAUGAAAUGCAACGAAGUAUUUUGCCUGGUGCAAAAAAAGAUGCUUUGAGUUAUUUCAUCUGUCAAAAAUGCCAGAAAUCUGGUAGGAGGGAAACAGUCAAGUCUAUGUACCCCAAAACUUAACUAAUGCUUAUUUUAUCAAACCAUGGUGGAUAAAAGACAAAGUUGAUCUCAGCAGGAUUUGAACUGAAACAAAUACCACAAAGCAUUUUGUCCCUUGCUCUAAUGAUGUUGCCAAUCUACCACCCUUAUAAUAAUAAUGGUUUCAAAUUUUGCCACAAGGGCAGAAAUUUUGUGGGUGGGGAAUGAGUUGAUUACAUUGACUCCAGUGUUCAACUGGUACUCACUUUGUCAACCCUGAAAGGAUGAAAGGCAAAGUCAACCUCAGCAGAAUUUGAAUUCAGAACAUGAAGACGGACGACAUACCACUAAGCCUUUUGUCCAGUAUGCUAACAAUUCUGCCAGUUCGCUGCUUUCCUUAUUAUAAUAAUAAUCUUUUCUACUAUAGGGCACAAGACCUGAAAUUUGUAGGGAGGGGUAAGUCGAUCACACUGACCCCAGUAAUUAACUAGUACUUAAAUUAUCAACCCUGAAAGUAUGAAAAGUCGACCUUAGAAGAAUUUGAACUUAGAACCUGAAGAUGGAUGAAAUACUGCUAAGCCUUUCACCUGGUGUGUUAAUGAUUCUGCCAGUUUGUCACCUUUAUAAUAAUAAUAAUGAUGAUGAUGAUGAUGAUGAUGAUAGUAAUGGUCAUUCCCAUUGAUUUUGAUAUAUGAGUGUUUGAAGGAAAGGAUUA